rnacentral:rRNA from 1 species
AUUGAACGCUGGCGGAAUGCUUUACACAUGCAAGUCGAACGGCAGCACGGGGCAACCUGGUGGCGAGUGGCGAACGGGUGAGUAAUACAUCGGAACGUGCCCAAUCGUGGGGAUAACGUAGCGAAAGUUACGCUAAUACCGCAUACGAUCUACGGAUGAAAGCGGGGGAUCGCAAGACCUCGCGCGAAUGGAGCGGCCGAUGUCAGAUUAGGUAGUUGGUGGGGUAAAGGCUCACCAAGCCAACGAUCUGUAGCUGGUCUGAGAGGACGACCAGCCACACUGGAACUGAGACACGGUCCAGACUCCUACGGGAGGCAGCAGUGGGGAAUUUUGGACAAUGGGCGCAAGCCUGAUCCAGCCAUUCCGCGUGCAGGAUGAAGGCCUUCGG